rnacentral:rRNA from 1 species
GACGAACGCUGGCGGCGUGCUUAACACAUGCAAGUCGAACGGACAGGCCCUGCUUUUGUGGGGUGCUCGUGUGGCGAACGGGUGAGUAACACGCGUGUAACCCGUCCUUGACUGUGGGAUAACUUCAGGGAACAGGGGCUCAUACCGGGUAGGAGCUCUUGCUGCAUGUUGGUCGAUAGAAAGUGUCGGCGGUUGGGGAUGGUCUCGCGGCUUAGGCGCUUGUUGGUCGGGUAGGUGCUUACCAAGGCUUUGACGGGUAGCCGGCCUGGGAGGGUGACCGGCCACAGUGGGCCUGAGGUGCGGCCCAGAGUCCUACGGGAGGCAGCAGUGGAGAACAUAGCACAAUGGGCGGAGGCCUGAUGCAGCAACGCCGCGUGCGGGAUGACGGCCUUCGGGGUGUAAACCGCUUGCGCCUGUGACGAAGCGUGAGUGACGUAAAUGGGCAGAGAAGCACCGGCUAACUACGU